CUCCGCGGUGCGCAUAACUGAUUAUAGCCAUUACAAGCAGCUCAGGAGGAGGAGUACCUUGCGGCACACGGGGGGCGAACGCACACUCGGGAUCCACGCCUCCCUCUCCUUCACAGCUGCAGUCUUACAGGAACGCAAUGACUUCCUAAUGCGCACACUGGAGCCUGACGCCAGGCUUUAUUGUAUCGUAACACGACGCCGGCUUGAAGGCCGCUCUAGUGUUCAGCGUUAUACGAGAGCGCUCUGCUUGGCUCCCCUUUUAGUGCUUUAGAUAUGCAUUGCGUGCCGCGGUGCAAUACUGCCACGACCCGUUUUGCCUCCAAAACGGAGCAGGUCUGCUGUCGCUGCCUCUGAUAAACCGCCUCCUCUCAGCUCUGGGUCGUUUCCCUUCAAGCUGGCGCCGCGCCGGGCUCAAAAGAACACGACUUCGGCGGGGAUGGUGACAAGAACACGCCCGGGAAUCUGAAGAGAAAGUGAAAGCGAAAAUGGAUCAAUGAGCAGGAACAGCGUGGGCAGCCUUCUGUGUGUCGGAUAAUACCUGAUCCCACAACAUCGGCAGAUUUUCCGGAUCUCCGGUGAAUUCGUAAAUGAAUUUGCUAUGUCGGCUUCGAUUCCCUCGAUCACUUUCCUCCACCCGGGCGACACAUUAAACGACUCUAUAGAGACGUUUAAUGCUACAUUGAGUUAAACAACUCCUGCCUGAUUUGGGUGCAGAGCAGGGGAGAUUCUGGUUUCCUUGAUCUGUAUGCUGGUGCUGCGGCAACCAGCAACAAGUGAUUUCUAUAGAAGUCGGAAAAACGGGCAAAGCUUAGACAUCAGAGCAUCUGCCAAGCGCUCAGUUGGAAAUGUUCAUGACUCAUUUCAUUGGAUGGAUAAAGAGAGGUCAGAAUUAAUCAGAGCAAGAAACACAGAACACGAGACUAGAAUUAAACUCGAAUGCAGACAGCUCUCUGGAUUGAUUCGCUGGGAAUGACUUUUACAGAUCACCUUAUGUUUCGAUGGAUAUUUCAACACUGAGGUUUGCCGACGAAGGG
ensembl:lncRNA